AAAAAAAAAAAAUUGCUCUUGGUUAGCAUAUAGUGAAAGGUCAAGUUCUAAAUUUUUCAAAUAAUAAAAGUUAGUUUCAGUCAGAAUAAAAAUCACUUGUCUUUAAACAAAUAAGUUAGUGAACACGUCUCUGAGUACACCACUGUCAUUUCUGUUGUAUGAUUCUUAGUGUGUCUUCACAUCAACAUCAAAUUUAGUUCCACUUAGAACUAAUAUCAAGACCACUCAGAGAUGCUGUGCACUGAAGUGCAUCAAACACUGAAGCAAUUUCUGUGUUUGUGGAAAUGAGUGGGACAGUUUGGCUCAAAUUUCCUUCUAUUACAAGAGGAGACCCUCAGAGAGAGAAAUUAGCCUUCAGCAAAUUAACCAGCAAUGCCUGAUGGAUUCUAUAUUAAUUUCUCAAGGUAGGGAUGGACAUGUCAUAUCAACUAUGAUAAAGGUGCUAUAAUUUUGCCCCUAGCACUUUCUCUUUUCUUGAGUUGAGGAAAAGAAAGACAAGGGAUUUGGGGAAGUGUGAGCUAUUCUGGCAUUCGUGCCUGGCAUUCAGUGAAAGCAUCUGAAGUCACUCUAAGGAGCUUUAAGCAUCCUUGCAAGACACCGGCAACUAUCAUAAUGUUGCAAAGUGAGAUGUUUUGUAACUCCGAUGUGGCAAGUCAUGCCCCAUACCUCCCAGUUCUUUUGCAUCAGCAGGCUUGGGGAAUCCCAACAGAUGACUUGUCAUUAGCCUUGACAUCAGAGGGCAUAAGAACCUUACUUUGAUCACCAUGUUUUCUUCACCCCGACUUCCAUAUAUUAUAGCACUGUGUCUGAGAGGUUUUUAUUUUAUUUUGUAGGAACACUUACAUAAGGUCUACCCUCUUAACAAAUUCUUAAGUGUAUAAUGCACUGUUGUUAACUGUAGGUACAAUAUUGUACAGUAGAUCUCUAGAGCUUAUUUUGAGUGAGAUAUUUAUACACAUUUGAAGUUGGAUUUUGGUCUCAAGAGAUUUUUCCAGGGUUUAACAAAACAACCCAUCUCUAACUAUAAGAACUAUCUGCUUUCUUAUCUUCUUCAAAAAGAUAAUAGAGAAGCAAGCAUUAUGCUUUUCUGAAGAAGAAGUUAGUUCUUCAGCCUGAAAAGCAAAUGUCCAUGAAGGUUUUGCUCAUAUUUUAGCUUUGAAAUGGAAAUGGGAGAAAUAGCAGUAUUCUUUGGAAUAUGGCAGAAAAAUUAUUUGAGAAAAAAAUUAUUUUAAAACCAUGAAAGAAUUACAAUAGUUUAAGACCAGUAAGAAUAGCAAAUGCAAAGGCACUGUGGCAGAAGGAAACAAAGAGCAUCUGAGAAUCUAAAUACAUCCAGUAUUACCAGCACAUAGAGAGCAAAAGGAAACACAGAAUAUAAGAAUAGAUGAUGUAGGGCAAUAUAAAGGAUUCUGGGUUUUUUUCCAGAAAACAAGGGAAAUGAUAAAGCUUUCAGGAAAAAAAAGAUGUAAUAUUUGCAUUUUGAAAUGAACACGUCACUGUACUAGGGACAACAAGCUGGAGAGAACAUAACCAGAUACCAAUCAAUUGUCCAAGUAUAAAGCCUCAUAUUUGUUCUUAACUUUGAAGCCACAUGUACUCUAUGCUAUAUAACAAAUGGCCACCAACUUAGCAGCUUGAAAUAACACAUUUAUGACCUCAAAGUUUUGAUGAGUUAUGAAUCUGGGCAUGGCUUUGCAGGGUCCUCUGUUUAGAGUCUCACAAGGCUACAAGUGAGGUGUCAGUCAGGCUGAAUUUUCAUUUGGAGGCUCCAGUAGGGGAUAAUCUGCUUUCUGGUUGUUGACGGAAUGCAUUUCCUUGUUCUAUAUGACUGGGGGCACCUUAUUUUUCUGGUUGGAGACCACCCUCACAUAUUAGAAGCCCUAGGUUAUUACUUGCUACCUGGGUGUCAUCCACAGGACUAGUCACUCCAUCAAGCCCACGAGAGAAUCUCAUCUCAAGGGAACCAGUCCCUCAGGUAGAGCUUUUACCUGAUAAAGACAGGCUCACUCAAGAUAUAUCUUACUAUUAUCUUAUACUCAACUGAUUGGGGACCUUCAUUACAUCUGAAAAACCUUCACUUGGCCAUGUUCUGUCAUCUAGAAGCAAUUCUUAGCUACACUUAAUGGGGGAAGGGGUUAACAUCAAGUGUGGACACCAGGGGACAGGAGUCAUGCUGCCGCCUUAGAAUUAUGGCCACCACAGCAUCAAACACUUAAAUUUUAGUAUUAUAAACUGUUGAAAACUAGUUCCAGGUACCAAUGGGACUUUCCCACACAGAUCUUAUCUUUAUAUAUUGAUAAGAACGUUGCUGAGACAAGAUUGUUUUCCUUGAGAUAUCCAUAGCGCUUCUCCAUACUACGUACUUAUUCCAUUUCUUAUAGCAACUUACUGAGAAACGUGAAUACCCUGCAUUCCUUUGCUCUGUUUCAGUAAACUGUAAUGUCUCCUUUAGUAUUUUCUGCUUCUACUGCUACCUGCAUCUACUUUCACAUUUUUAUUUAGCUAAUAAGUGUUUUUCUCUGACAUCAUAAUCCCUCAGUACACAUACACAUUUGGCACUGAAAACAAAGAAAUAAGAGCCAAAAGAGUGGCAUUAAUUUAGUAAGUUUUCAAUACACUUGCCUAAUGUGGGAUUCCUCUCAGAAUUAUGCGCACUCAUCAUGAGUGUUAACACUGCUAACAAUGAUAUCCAGAAAAUAACCAAAAAUUUAAGAAAAUUAAAAUUUCAUGACAUUCACCUUGGAUGAUAAAAACUGUAGCCCACCUAACCCUCCAGGUAGAGCCUCCUUUCCUGUCCGCUUGCAUCUCUCACAAGGUCCUAUCUUAAUAUAUCCAUUUCUUGCCUAUCACUUUGUCUCUUGCUGAAUUCCUUCUUCAUGGAGGUAUAAAGAACCUGAACCUCAGUAAUUCCAGAAACCAGAGAUUUGAGGAAGGAGAAAAGUGGGAAAAGGCUAGAAAGACACAGACUGAAAACCACUGACACUCACAUGGGGAAGAAGUAGAUAGCCUUUCCAGUCUGUGCUGGCAGGAAAAGCUGGGGCGUAAGGCCCCACAGGAAAAGGUGCAGCUCACACCUCCACUGCUCUGAAUCCAACCAACAGGUUUCCCAACGUGUGAAUAUACGGCCUACCUCAACCCUGAAACCACUGCCAGAAAACUUUUAUGGGCUUCUUGAGGACACCAAGGAGAGAGCAAACCCCAAGUUUCUUCCCUUAUGCCUGGCUGCUUCCUUCACUUCUGGGACCAUGGAACAACAUGGACCAGGCCAUGAACAAAGACUAAAGACUAUGGAGAACACUUUGAGGUUAGAAUCCACAUUCCUUUGAUCUUUAAUGGCCAGUGCUGAGCAGAGCACAUUGCUUAUGGUUCUGGCCAAGAUCAGGAAAUAGCAAAAUAAGCCAUCAAGCAGGCAAAGUGGAUGUCCAAAUCCAUGUUCAGAUACGGGAUUAAGAUGGCAGAAUACAAGGACUGGAACUCACUUUCUCUCAUAAAAACAACAAAAUUACAACCAAAUGCUGAACAACCUUCAACCAAAUGGACUGAAAACUCUCAAAAAGAUAUCCUACUCCAGAAGAAAAAGAGGAGGCCAUAUCAAGAUUAUAGGAGGGGCGAUUAUGAGAAAUAAGCAACCCUGUGCCUACCAGGUGGGCAGCCCACAGACUGGAAAGUAACUGUAUCACAGAGACUCACCUACAGGAGUGAGAGUUCUGAGCCACAUGUUAGGUCCUCACACCUGAGGAUUUGGCAAUGAGAGAAAGAGCCCCAGAGCACCUGGUGUUGAAGACCAGUGGUGUGGGGCUUAUGUGCAGGAGCUCCAUGGGACUGGGAGAAACAGAGACCCCAUACUUGAAAGGUGCACACAGGCUUUCAUGUGCACUGGGUCCCCAGGGAAAAGCAGAGACUCAACAGGAAUCUGGGUCAGGCCUGACUGCAGUUCUUGGAAGAUCUCCUGGGAAAAGAGAGGGUGACUGUGGCUCUUUGUAGGGGAAAGAAAUUGGAGGCAAAGCUCUUGGGAAUACUGAUCAGUUGUGUUCCUCUAGAGUUGGCCAUUUUGGGAAAAUGUGGCCCCACCCAUCAGCACUGAGAAUCUCCAGGCCAAAUAAUAAUCCAGGUGGGAUCACAGCCCCACCUAUCAGUAAACAGGCUGCCUAAAGACCCCUCAGGCACACAUACACCUCUAAGCUUACCCAGAGAAAAAGCCCAACCCACCAGAGGGAUAAUAAUCAGCCCCACCUACCACUAGGCAGGCACCAGUCCCUCUCAUCAAGGAAGACUACAGCAAGCCCCCAUACCAAGUUCAGCCACAAGGGGGGCAGAUAUCAGAAGUAAGGCUACAACUCUAUUGUCUGUAAAAAGGAGACCACUCCAAAAACCUAUAAAAAUGAAAAGGCAGAGAACUAUAACUCAGAUAAAAGAGCAAGAAAAAAAAAAAAAACAGAAAAACAGAUAAGUGAUCUGGAGAUUAUCAGCCUCCAGGAAAAAGAUUUUAGACUGAUGAUGGUGAAGAUGAUGCAAGACAUUGGAAAUAAACUUGAGGCAAAGUUUGAUAAUUUACAGCAAACACUGAGCAAAAAAUAGAAGAUUUAAAACUUAAGCAAGAAGAAAUGCAAAAUACAAUAACUGGAGGAGUUCCCGUCAUGGCGCAGUGGUUAAUGAAUCCAACUAGGCACCAUGAGGUUGCAGGUUCGAUCACUGCCCUUGCUCAGUGGGUUAACAAUCCGGCGUUGCCAUGAGCUGUGGUGUAGGUUGCAGAUGCGGCUCAGAUCCCACGUUGCUGUGGCUCUGGCAUAGGCCAGUGACUACAGCUCCGAUUAGACCCCUUGCCUGGGAACCUCCAUAUGCCGUGGGCGCGGCCUAAGAAAUGGCAAAAAGACCAAAAAAAAAAUACAAUAACUGAAAUUAAAAAUUCAUUAGAAGCAACCAACAGCAGAAUACAGGAAGCAGAAGAACGAAUAAGCAAGGUGGAGGACAGACUAGUGGAAAUCACUGUUGUG
rnacentral:lncRNA from 1 species